rnacentral:tRNA from 2 species
GGUCGUAUAGCUCAGUUGGUUAGAGCGCAGCAUUCAUAAUGCUGAUGUCCCAGGUUCAAGUCCCGGUACGACCACCA